UGUGGAGCUGAGAUGAGAGGAUCACUUGAGUCAGGAAGGUCAAGGCCCUAGCCUGGGUGACAGAGUGAGAACCUGUCUUAAACUAAACCAAACUAAAGAUAAGAUCAAAUCAAAUCAAAUAAAAAUAAAAUCAAGCAUUUUUUUCACCACUGAUUUCAUCUCCAAGCAAAUGCUAUCUUGAUGCCAUGUUCAUAUAUUUAUACAAAUGUGGAGUGCUUUCAUAUCAUCACAGAAAAUUGAUCUGUUUAUUCCACAUGGAGUGAUUCUUUCCUAAAUUAUACUAACAACGUCUAUUUUGUUCUUCACUGUCAUUUAUUACAUAAAUCCUGCCAAUAAAUUUGCUGCUUCCUUCUGAAUAAAUUCCCUCUCUGCUAUCAUUUUCAUUUUAUAGCUAGUCAAAUCUUUCAUCUGGACUCUAUUACUCACCUCCUUGGACAUUAAACUCCUCUUUUUCAAUGAAGUAAGCUGCUCUUAGUGUCUUUUCCCCAGGUUAGUGCUGAAUACUCACCUCAAAGUCUCAACAGGAAGAGGACUGGCUGGGGAUUAAAAAGUCCUGGGUCAGAGUUCUAGUUCUACUCUCACUUUCUGUGUUGCUUUUGGGCAAGCCAUUUUUCUGCUUGAGUUUGUUUCCUCAUCUACAAAAAUUAGGGAGAGCACUAUCUGCACCACUUGGAUUCUUGUGAUUGAGGAUUCAAAGAGAGACAGGUCUUUGUGAAAGACCUUUGUAAAGCAGACACAUUACACAAGUGAGAAUUAUUAAAGUGCCAGAUACAGCCUGGCCACACAGAAAAUGCUUUAAAAUGUUAGUUGAGUUAAUAGCUCCCACUCAUUCUUUGCCUCUAUUACGUGCCUCACAUGGGAAGGGAGACAAGAGUUGGAGUGAACUUCCUGGGUUGUAACUGUGUUCCUAUCCCUUUCUCCCACUUCCCUCAUCUUUAAGACCAACCAGUACAUGCAGAUGGGUCUGCAGUGAUUAUGUCUGAAUCUUGAGACUCUGCCACUUUGGGCAGAGUUGAUUGAUUCAUAAGGGAGACACCUUUCCCCACCUGAGCCUGAGCCAAACAGGGCUUCUGGUGUGGCUCUUUGAUCAUUGAAAGGGAAAACAAAUUCUCCAUGUUCUUGAAGCAGGGUCUAUUAAUGACAGUGCUUUACAGAAAAGCGUCUCAAAUUGCUGCUGCUAACAUUCUCGGCUUCUUUGAUUUACUCGGCUUCCCAGACCUAUCGUUAAGUACCUCCUCAGAUUUUGUGAGAUAAAUAAAUAAAUAAUACUCACUUUCUAGGACUUUAUGGUAUGUUUACAACAUUGCUUGCGAUUCAGUAAGCAUUUGGUAAGUAUCAGCUAUUGUUAUUAAAUGACUUUGAAUAAUCCCUAGCAUAUAUAAUGAGUGUUCAGUAAUGCUAGUGAUUAUUCCUGGUACUCAACUUACAUAGCUGUUACAAGGAAUAAAAUAGUUAAUGUAUGUAAUUCACUUAAUAUAGUGCCAAGCAUGUAGUAAGUACUUAAUAUUUGUUUGCUAUUAUUUAUAUCAUAUGAAUGCUAUAACAAAUGAUACAGUAUUUGUAUUGUUUUGACAAAAAUUUUUCCCACAUGUUUUAAAUAUUUCCACUCUAGUACAUGGAGAAAUAGUUCAUCUUCUAGAAACGCUAAAUGCUAUUAGUUUUCUUUUUAUUGAUGGACAUUUAGGUAGGUUUAAUUUUUCAAAAAGCUGCAACAAAUCCCUUUAUAAUCUGACCUUGUGCAUGUAUUUAUGUCUUUUUAUAGAGUAGAGAGCCAAAAUUACAGUAGUUAAUCCAUAAGGCACAUUUAAUAUUAAUAGGAAAAACUGCCGAUUCAAGGAGCUGUGCCUAUUAACUAUUACAGCUACAUGCUUCUCUAUUAUCUUACUAACAUGUCAGGUUACCGAAGUUUGAAAUAUCUGCCAGUAGACUGAGUUACAAGCUCAUUACCUUAAUUUGCAUUUCCCUAAUUACUACUGAGAAACAUUUUUCAUGCAUUUAUUGACAAUACACAUUUUCUCUUUUGUGAACUGCCUGUUUUCUAUUUUCUUAUUUAGUAUCUGAUUUAGACUUUUUUCCUUCCAGGCAUAAUGGAGGAUUCCUUGAGAAUUCUGUUGAAUGUGUCACCCUUUUUCCUAGAUCCACCACUUCCAGUAAUAAGAGAGUGAAAAUGAAUGAUUUUAGAAUAAUAUUUCAAAUUAGAAUGAUAAUGAGCUCCUAAUUAUUAAUUGUAAGCAGCACUAUUAAAAGUGAGGUCAACAGCAUCAUCCUCACUGAGUUGUUUUUAGAUAAGUGCACCAAUUCUCAGGCCCUCCAGACCACUUCAUCAGAAACACUACGGGUGGGUUCCGCAAGCUGUGCUUUAGUUUAACAAGCCCCCUAGGUGAUCGGGAAACACGAAACUGGACCACUCGAAGAAAACAUUAGUGAUCCUAAAAAUAUAUUAAGAUUAUGAUUACAUUUGUCUUCCAAUAUUGUUUAAUAGACUCCACAUUUUAAAAUUAUAUCAAUACAUACAACUUGGAUGAGUCUCAAGAGAAUUAUUACAAGUGAACAAAGCCAUUCUCAUACAUAAUGUAUGAUUCCAUUUGCAUUACAUUCUUGAAAUGACAAAAUUAAAAAGGGCGAAGCAUGGUGGGGGCGUGAAGGUGAAUGUGGUAAUAAAAGGGCACAAUGAGGAAUCCCUAUGCUGAUGGAGCUGUUCUGUUUCUUAACUGUGGUGUUAAAUACACAGAUCCACACAUGUGAUCGAAUUACAUAGAACUGAAUACACACACGCAAGCAAGUACAAGUUAAACUGGGGAAAUCUAUAUAAAUCAAUCAAUUGCACUGAUAUCAAUAUUCUUUUUGUGAUAUACUAUAGUUCUGUAUUAUUGUUUUUCAUUGGGGAGAAUUGUGUAAAGUUUACAGGGAACCUCUCUGUUUUAUUUCUUAAAACCAGAAGUGAAUCUACAAUUGUCUCAAAAUGAAAAGUUCAAUUACAUAAUGACAAUAACAACAAAAAUUUUAUUAGGUUUAUUGUCAUCAAUUUCCACAAAUAUUGAUAGGAAACUGGGAAAAUGGUUCAUGGUCAUUUGCACUCUGAAUUUGGCAAAAUGUUUCAAUUCUCUUAGUUAUAAGUUAAGAAAGUAAUAAACAGGCUAGAUCAAGGGCAUUUUAACUUCCUAUUAAAAAUAAAGAAAAAAAGACCAUGUUUAGAAAUAGCUGUAAUUCUCUUCAAAGAGUAUUGUCUCCCAUAUCUCAGUUUUACAUAUGAUGUAUUAACUAUUUCUAGAUAAUAAUAAGACAGCAGUAAAAUACAGACAUGCUUAAAGAUGAAAGUCAUAGCUUAUAUUUUAAUUUUUAAAUUUUGGAACUGAGUCCAUUUUUAUUUGAAUGAUAAUCCUUUUUGGGAAAGUAAAAUCAUUACUAGGAAACAUUAGAGUGCAAUUUCUGCAGAACAGUUGCUUAAAGAACUGUGGGAACUCCUAACUAUAGAUGAGAUUGUAGUUUUCAAAUACUUACAAAAUAGAGUUGCUCAGCAAUACCAAAUAACCAAACAUUUGCACAAUUAAUUAAAGAUUCUCAGAGGGAGAAUGUUUCUAGAUCUUUGAUAAACAAUUGCAAUUUUUACAUUCUGACACAAUUUCUCAUAUAACCAACCUGCCAAUUGGCAACUCCAGGCUGCCAGUUUUGUUUCUUUUUUCUCCCCAGAGAUCACCUGGAAGCAGCUUUUACGUUGUACCUAUAUCAAACCAUUUAUUUUGGCCUCUUUUUGGAGGCUUAAUCUUCUGGGCUUUAUUGAUUUUGACUUCCUGGAUGACAAUUUCAGAUGUUAACUGAAUAAUUAUUUGAGGCUUGGAGGAUAUAUUUUUAUACAAACCUUUCUUCUGGGAACUAUUAAAGCCAAUAAAAAUUGGAGGGUGAAAGAAAGAUGGAGUUGUUUAUAUUUUAAUUCUAAUCUUCUUUUUCUUUAUUUGGUUGACUUAUUUGUGGAUUUACCAGGGUAGGUUUCAAUCCAUUCAAUAUCCUCUUUCACCUGGGAAUUAAAACCUACCGCAAAAAUUGGCCAGGACUUUUAGUGGAAUUUAUCACGUUUAGAAUCCAUAAACUACAGUUAUUAAUUCCAAAAAUAGUUUAGUAAUUUUUACAAAUUAAAAUUAUUUGCACAUAUGAGUAUUCAACAUAUGACAUAUUAUUAUAAACAACUUGUUUCUACUCAUCUAUUCAUGUCUCCUAGUAUCCUAUGGGGUAGGAGCAGAGUAUUGCCUUAGAGAUGGAUAUUUAGUGAAUAUAGCAUGGAAACUGGAACAAUAUAUGAGCUGAUAGUUUUGCUUUGAGAUAAACUUCUCUGUUGGAUUCUAUUCUCAGAAAACUUCUGGAAACAUGUCUAUGUAGUGUGUAGUUUGAGGGAGACUGUACUGCAGUAGUUAAGCAAUAAGAAAAUUCCAUAUUCUAAAAAUUUGAGACCAACUUUUACUUAUAAGUCUUUAUGUUUUUUUUUUACUUCAUUUUGAUAAUCUCUUUAUUUUUCAGAAGCAUGAAUAUUUCUAACAUGAGUUUUGAGCUCCUUUUAAGAUCAGGGGGAGAGAAGCGGUCUUUUAUGAUUUCUGUGUACUGAGUCAUAACAUACCAAGUUGCUGGUGCCAGAAACACACACUAGACUUACUCCCCUUAAACAGCCUCUCCAAACAAAUCAAUGAAAGGCUCCUAGGACUAUAAUUUAUGGUGCCCCAUACAUUGAUAAGAAAAAUGCUGGACUGAGUUCAGAAACAAGGGUCAAAUGAUGACAACAAGAGCAAACAAUUUCGAAUUGUAAUUGCAGCUGACUACAAAGUUGCUGGUAGAAAAUACAAAUCAGAGAGAACUACACAGUCGUAACUAAGCCAGGCUUUCUUUUAUUUAAUUACUUAUUUAAAAAGACAACACUUCACACCUGGGAAAAGGCUAAAGUGUUUGCAUCUUCUUCAUAAAAUAUACAGUUACAAAAACUGAGAAAGAGCUCCUUUUUGUCAUGUAUUUUCCAGGGGUAAUGAGACUCAACUAUUUGAGCUUAUUGAAAGCACCAAAUAGUUUUAGUCAAGGAUAGAGCAUUCCUAUGACGUGUAGUUACUGCUGUUAGCCUUCGCUGGGCUUGAGCUGUCACAUAGCAAUGCUGUACAGUUUCAUUCUCUCAUUAAUGCAAUCUUUCUAGAUAUCACUGUGCCAGUUCAUUGCUCGCCAUUAUCUGUUACCAUUUAUAUUCCUCUUCAUUUUUAACUAUUGUAGUCUUUAGGAUUAUUUAACAAAAUUAAGGUAACAAAUUGAAAGGGAAAAAGAUAAUGUCUCAAGUCUUACUUGCUUAGGAAGAGACUGAGUUUUAGUAGAUUCGCUAGUUAACAGAAAAAUCCCAAAUAUGUAAAAAAAAAAACAAAAAACCUCCAGCAUUACUAGACUAUAAGUUGAAAUAGAAAAAUAACGUAUCUAUAUCUUUUUGAAUUAAAAAGAAAGUAGCUAUUAUAUGUCCUGUUUCUUCUUCUGUCCAGUUCAUAACAGUUGAAUCACACUCCACUCAGUAAGGGAAGCUUUUUGCCCUACUUCAGGCAGAAUUUUCACAGGCCUUUCUCUUAUCUAAGCCUCUCUAUGAACCUUUCCUCUAUUUCUGUUACUUUAUCUAAUUUGGGAGAUAAGCAGGAUCAAAAACAAACAAAAAGAGCUGCCAAAGAAAUAAUAGAGACUUUUGUUUCUUUUCUGAAUUGGAACCUUCCUACCUGCUAAUGUAGUUUAAAUUAAAAAGCAGUGAGUCACCCUUUUCUAUUAUUUGCAUGAAUCCACACCUGUUGUCCACCUUUGCAGAAAAGGUCGCGAGUGAUGACUCAUGCUGCCUUCCCCACUUCAAGGACUUUCCUGCUGUCCGUGCUCAUCAAUAGCAUCCAUAUAAUUUAUUUUACAUGUCAGUUUCCUCAGUCUAGGUCCUAGAAAUCAGUAGACCUGUGCCGCCUCUGAGUAGGGAUCUUCUUAUUUGAUUUAAACUCCCCUGAGUAAUUCAGGCAUGUGAUGCUAACCCCAAGUACCCUAGAAAAAGCCUUGCAAUUCAGUAUGUGUAAAGCAGAUUUGUUAGCAAUUGAAAAGGCAAUGGCAUACAGUAUCCCUCAUUCUUUGUAAAGAGAAAAUUUGAAUUUAUUCUAUUAUUUGAGAGAAGUUAGAUAUUGUGAAAAAAUUUACAUUUAGGAUGAUGACAAUAGUUAUCAUGUACUAUAUGGCCAUUACUGUGUAAAUGAUUUAAUUCACUAUCAUAUUUGACCCUCACCCAAAGACAUAGGUGCUACAAUCUCCUUUUUUUGAAAGAAAAAAACUGAGGUUUGGGGAGAUUAAACGGUUUAUCGUCACAUAGCUAAUAAGAACCAGAGGUGUAAUUUGAAUCAAAGGCUUUUCUUCUCCAAAGUCUGUGUCCUUUUUUACUUUACUAUACUACUUCAGAAAAGAAGAAUCAUACUAAUUCUGAAUCUGCUUAACUGAAUUUGUCAUCGUUUAGUCAGGCAGAACUAGCAUUUAUUCACCCUUGUACUCUGAGGCUGAAUUUAUUAAUUCAACAAAUACUUACUGAAUGAGGUUUAUGUACCAAAGUGAUUUUCCUCCUAAGUUCUUCAAAUAUUCAUCAAUGUUAGGAAUAUAGAUACCUCUUUCAAGACAUAAUACUCAUUUCCCAAGCCAAAAAUCAAAGACAGUGGUUUAAUCUAUUAUCAGUUGUUGGAACACUUAACCCAUUAGAAGUCUUUAAUACAUUCUGUUUCUUCUUUCAGGCUUAAGUGUGAAUCUGAAAUAUUAUACAUCUUUUUGAAGCAGACUCUUUAAAGAAUCACAUUCCGAGUUCUCAACACAAGAUAAUUAAAGCGAUCACCAUUGAAAAUUUUAAAACUUAACAAAACACUUAGAUUUCAUGAUAGUUAUGUUACAGCACAUUUAAGUUACAUGCCCUAUAACCCUAGCUAAAUUAAAAGUCAUUUUUUUCUCCAUUUUGAUAGAAUUAAACUGCUUUUGAAUCUUUCCAUGAAGAUCAGCUAAUCUUGAUACAGGUUUCCUUAAUCUCUGAAAUAUGAUGAGUGAUAUUUAUGAGAAGAAUUGGAAGAAGACUAAGUAAAUUUAAUAACACAAAGAAAGAAGGAAAAAAGUAAUGGCCAAAGGAAGUAAAAUAAAUUUUUAAAGGCAGGGAAAAGUGAAGAAGAUGCAAAGUAAGGGUUGAAUUCUAAGGUCAUGGAACAUCAGGGGCAGCAGCUUACAAAGAAUCCUUUUUUGCCUCUCUUAGCAUGAUCUUGUAUAUAUAUUGAAAAUUGAAGUUUAUCAGUGAAAACCUCAUUUUUGCUAGUCUUUUGCAUGUCUCACAUAAAGGAGGUGUGGCUUAUGGCUACUUGAUAACACUGUUAAUAAUAUAGGGUAUCCUGCUAAGGAGCUCUCAUAGGGCCUUGCUCUCCCUAAGGUACUCCUGAGCCAUCAAGAGAAUGGAAUAGGUGUUAAGACAAAACACCUCUCUGCUCUCUGCCGAUCUCAAUGCAAUAAUUCACUUAUUCAUUUCCUUAUUCAUAGUUGUUCAUUCCUUUAAGAAAAUAUAUACUGAAAACUAAAGACAAUGUACUGGGCUCUACAAAACAAUUUUUAAAAAGCACACACAGGAUCUCCCCUAAAUACUUCCACAUUAAAUACCUUCUCUGAGUGUUCUACGGGACCGUUGACCUCAACAAAUGUGAAACUUAAGUUCGCUAUGCUCUUCCCACCAUGCCCUGUCACUAAUCACCCAGUAUUUCCACCUCUACCAAAUCUGUUCUUCCAUUAAUAGGUCAUGUUUUUGUUACUGGUAAAAAACAUCCCCUUUGUCAUCCAAGUUCUUUUCUGUCUUUUGGCCUCUUCUACUUCUCUAAUCAGUCAUUAGGUAACUUCGAUUCUGCUCCUGAUUCUAUCUCCUUCUCUCCACCCUCUUAUCAUCUCUCAUUUGACUUAACUGAGAUAAGCUCCCAUCCAACUUUUCCUCCAGUGCCUCUUUUUCCUCCCUUUAUGUACUUGGUAGUCUGAACGAUGCCCCUAAAAUUCAAAUUGCAUUGUAUCACUUUCUUGCUAAAAAUCUUACUCCUCCUGACAAAACAAGAAAUAACAUCUCUUAAAAUUGUAGAGAAAUACCUUCACAUCUAUUUUAUUUACAUAUUUAUCUACCUCUCUAAUAUUUUUAACUUUUAGCAUUCUUUUCCAUGAAUGCUUGGCUUGCAUUAUGUUGUAAUUUUCUUGAAAUAUAUGUUAGAAGUCAUAUUUUUAGUACUUUAUGGGAAGUAGAAAACUAUUAAAUUUAUUUUAGUAAGUCAGAGGCAAGACCAGGAUGUGAUUCACAGGGAUGAAUAUAGUAGCAAUUUGAAAAAUGGACCAGAGAACGCGGAAGCUAGAAACUGAAGGAACGGGUUGCAGUAGGUGGUUACUGCAGUGUUGUUGAAGAUACGAGCCGGGGCAGGAAAGGAGAUACAGUGAGACGACAUGCAUGAGGUAAGGUUAUGUAUGAACUCACCUGAGCUGUUAUGAUUCAUAUUAUCAGCCUGAUUGCGUGGCAUGACACUCACAAUGGAAAAUGGAAGGGGCAGAAAGAGUCGAGAAUCUUUCAGACUUUUCUUAUAAGUCAAUGUGAGGAGAUUAGUAGAGAAGUGAUAUACAGAAACCACUAUUGAAAUAACUAAGAAUAACCUGCACUUAACAUAGGCAUAUAUAAAAUGAUAUUUCUAAGAUAUUAGCAUAUCUUGUGGUCACCAAAUAUUUCAGCCAUUUCUUGAUUUAAUUUUACGGUAUGAAUUUGUCAGCAAACAUUUUUUACAAUUUUUAGGAAUGAGCCAAUUGUAAAGAGUUUUACUUCUUUCUAAUUUGAAGCCUUAUUUUAUGCUGAACACUGUAUACAGCCCUGUGGAAAUAAAUAAACACAAGAUAAUCCCUACACUCAAAGGAAAUUACAAACUCGUUGAGGGUUUUUAACAAGCAAAAGAGAAAUCUAAAAGUUAGUCAAUUAGGUAGAAAAUUUAGGCCCCGAAACACUUUCCCCUUACAGGCAUAUAACCAAAGCAUGAAAAAAGGGAUAUUUAUUUCGUCUCGCUUAAUUUAUUGGUUACCUACUAGAGCUAGAGGCCCCAAAACACUAAACAAAAAGAAAGUAUUCAUGGGAAAUAUUCAACAUGCAAAACAUGCCUGCCAAGAAACCAAACAACCCACACACAGCCAAUAAAAUUGAAGACUCUUACUUCAUACUCUAAAUGCCUCCAGACUGAAACUGUGUCAGGGGGAGAACAUUUCACAGCUGUAGAACUUCUUUGUAGAGAGAUUUUUCUGCCGGUCUCAAAAUUCUGUAACACAAAUCAUUACCUAGAGAAGCACACCAGAACUUCUUAAAUAGUUAAGGGAAUGUAUAGGAAUGUAGUUAUUUUAAACUUGUAGGGAAGAGGAUGCUCUCUUGAGCAAGCAACUACUUUGCAAUUCUUAGCAUUCUUAAAAGAUCACCUUCAGCAUUACAGCUAAGAUUCGUGUAUUCUAAUUAGAAGACUUAAAAUCCAGGAUAUGAUCAUAUUAGAACCAAAGCAAGCACUUUGUCACAUUUAGCUUUACACUCUUUAGUUUAAACCACUGUCAUUUAAAAUAAGAAUAAUUUUGUGUUCUUUCUAUAAAAAUGUAGAUGUGGGACACUUUCCAAUCCUGCAAUAAAGCAAAAUUUGUGCAAAAAAUGCAAAUUUUUAAAGUUUUUGUUGCCUUCUAACACACAGCAUAAUCAAAAUCAUCAUUCACUGACUUGAAGAUAGGUUACUCAUGUCAUUUAAUACAAUUUUUACAGCAGUUUAUUUUUCUCUUUGUUCUUUAUUUCCACUCCUUAUGCUUAGAAGUGAUUAUUACGUGUUUCUUACCUUUCUCUAAUGUUUAAUAUGCUAUCCCAGGCAGACAUAAUGAAAGAGCAGUAUGGAAUAAAAAAGUGUUUAUUAAGAAAUGCAUUUCUAUAAAAAGUAAUAGAAAAUUUAGAGAAGAGGCAUAUGCAUAUUGAAAUUGCCAAAAUGAAAUUUUGCUGCUGUGUAAAAAGGAUCAUAAAAUGUGUCCUAGGUGCCCUUGAGGAUGUGUUGAUCAUAGUGACUUGUAUCUAAUCAAUAAUAUAGAAGAUUGGGGGACUUUAUCAUGGACAAACAUGGCAGACAGCACCUUAAACAAGUGAUAAAAAUGGAGACAGUUUCCAGAGUAUCUUCUGGAAACUUUCUCAAAUAAUACGUAUUGAGUGUGGAAAAGGCAAGAUAUGUGAGUUUAAGCAAAUUUUCCCAGAUGAUUCUGCUAUUCAGUCUCACAUGUAGGAAUGUAGCUCUAAGGAAAUUUUGUUUUCUCUUUGAAAUAAGAGAUUUUUAUCAAUUUGUUUUGUU